UUAGGGCAUGUAUGUUAUGAAGUACUGUGUUAGAUAAGGUCUGAGUGAUAGAGUGAUUGAAGGGAUUCUUUAUUUUAAUGAUUGACUUAUUCAGUUCAUAUAUUGAUUUACUAUAUAUUAAGUUGUACCAAUAAACUAUAAUUUUUAUUUUUAAAAUCCAUACCUUUGUCUGAGGAGUCAGAUAUAUGUGUGCGGUUGGUGGCAGCGUGUUAAGAGAAAGAAAGUGUGAAGUGGCAUCCCCUCUGUGAUGUAUGAGGAGGCGGCCACAAU